GGAAAGUGUAAUGAAGCUUAUAUACGUGUGUGCUGUGCUGUGCUGUGCGGUGUUGUGUUGCGUGGACGCCCGCCCCAACAAAGCCAGCCUGAGGAGAGAGAGGGAAGAGAGGGAAGAGAGAAAGAGAGAAGAGAGAGAGAGGGAAGGAUCCUGGGUCAACACUGCGCCAUUACCCGCGCUGACGGCGGCGGGGCGGCAGUGUGCGCUGGUCCUCCUGCAGCCCUGGUCACCGCGCCGCUGCUCCUCACGCCGCCGGCUUUUGUCAGUGCACGGGGGAGGGAAGGAAGGACCGAAGGACAGUGAGAAAGGGGCCCUCCUCCCAGCCUCCCUCCCUCCAAGUCAGCCUCAUUUCCUUUGAAUACCCGGAUAACUUUGAAAAUGAGGAUCUUCUACAUGGAAAUAUUCGUACAUUACACUAUACUACACCGCACCGCUGCUUGGCCUGGCUGGCUCUUGACGCACUCGCUUGUUACCCCUUCUUUUGUGCACGAACCGCGGGACCCGAGGCGUGGAGGGAAGUAAGGAGGAAGAGGGAGAGGGAGAGGGAGAGGGAGAAGGAGAGGGAGAGAGAGAGAGUUAGGGCGAGGGUGAGGGAGAGAGGAGCGCCAUUCCGUGUGGACGCAUCAACACGUAGUUUGCCCACAAGUCGCCUCUCACUCUGCCGCCAAGCCAGCCACCCUCCCCGAGCCUCGCCGCUCCGUCCUGCGAGGUGAGGCUGAGGUGCUUCCUGCCAGGCGCUGUUCGAGGCGGGUUUUAUAGAUGUUAUUGAGUAAGACAGGAGAGCUCUGAUGCCUCCUCCACUUUACCCAGCCAGUCACCGAGCCAGUCAACCAGUCAGCCAGUCAGCAAGCGACCUUCAAACUUACUCACGCUGCGAUUACUUACCUCUGUGUGUGUGUGUGUGUGUGUGUGUGU